rnacentral:rRNA from 1 species
UACGGAGGUGGCAAGCGUUGCUCGGAAUUACUGGGCGUAAAGCGCGCGUAGGCGGAUCUGCAAGUCGGGGGUGAAAUCCCGAGGCUCAACCUCGGAACUGCCUUCGAUACUGCGGGUCUCGAGUCCGGGAGAGGUGAGUGGAAUUCCUAGUGUAGAGGUGAAAUUCGUAGAUAUUAGGAAGAACACCAGUGGCGAAGGCGGCUCACUGGCCCGGUACUGACGCUGAGGCGCGAAAGCGUGGGGAGCAAACGGG